GUCUUCCGCGUCGGGCCGUGCACAAGUCUCCUGGAAUGGAGCGUCGUAGAGGGUGAGAAUCCCGUCUCUGGCAUGGACCUCCGGUGCUUUUGUGAUGCGCUCUCAAAGAGUCGAGUUGUUUGGGAAUGCAGCUCAAAAUGGGUGGUGAACUCCAUCUAAAGCUAAAUAUUGGCGAGAGACCGAUAGCGAACAAGUACCGUGAGGGAAAGAUGAAAAGCACUUUGGAAAGAGAGUGAAACAGUACGUGAAAUUGUUGAAAGGGAAACGCUUCAAGUCAGUCGCGUCGACCGAGACUCAGCCUCGCCUCGGCUUGGUGUACUUCUCGGCUGACGGGCCAGCAUCAAUUUCGUCCCUCGGAUAAUGGCAAGGGAAAGGUGGCACCCUUACGGGUGUGUUAUAGUCUCCUGUCGCAUGCGAGGGGUGGGAUUGAGGACCUCAGCGCGCGCCGAAAGGCGUCGGGGCUUCGGCCCACGCUACGCGCUUAGGAUGUUGGCGUAAUGGCUUUAAACGACCCGUCUUGAAACACGGACCAAGGAGUCUAACAUGCCCGCGAGUGUUCGGGUGGAAAACCCGUGCGCGAAAUGAAAGUGAAAGUUGGGACCUCUGUCGUGGAGGGCACCGACGCCCGGACCAGACCUUCUGUGACGGAUCUGCGGUA
rnacentral:rRNA from 1 species